CCCCAAACCGACACAGGUGGUCAGGUAGAGAAUACUAAGGCGUAUGAGAGAACUCGGUUGAAGGGACUAGGCAAAAUGGUGCCGUAACUUCGGGAGAAGGCACGCUCCUGACGGUGAACCCCUUGCGGGGUAAGCUGUUGGGAGUCGAAGAUACCAGGGGGCUGCGACUGUUUAGUAAAAACAUAGCACUCUGCAAACACGAAAGUGGACGUAUAGUGUGUGACGCCUGCCCGGUGC
rnacentral:rRNA from 1 species